AACCCAAAAAAAAAAAAAAAAGCAGCUCGAAUAAGCUUAACUGGAUGCCACAAUCUACAGGGUUAGAUAACAAAGCAAACCUUUGAAACAAACUCUCCCAAAUUUCCUAAAAUGUGGGACCACAGCAACCUGACAAAUCUAUUCCACACUUCCAUUGGAGAAACUACAGCCAAUGUCUGGAGAUGUAAAACAGAUCAGAUCACACAUCAAGGAUGUAGUAUCAAUCUUUAGGGGCAACAAAAAGUUUAGAAUGGAUUCAAAAUGUUUACCCAAAAAGAACACAAGUAGUAAAAACUACAGAAGCAAUGUAAUUCCAAAAUUGAAUAAACAAAGUUCUCUACUCACAACGUUAUAUAUACCACAUUUGAAAAAUACACCAUACUCAUACAACUAAUGUCAAGUAGCCAUAACUAUACAAUAAAUUUGGAAAAAACUAACCAUGAUAUCACUUGUCUCCUCAUAUUGACUAAUGCCUAUCAUCUCAAACAUCAGCAUACAUUCAUCAUACAUGUCCAUAUCAAUAGGAAAUUCUUUAAAGGGUAGAGCUUAAUACAAAAUCAACAAAUUCAAGUAAACAUAUACACAUCACACUAAUUUCGUAUACAGUUCCACAUGUUAAUAAUAAUUAGAUUGCUCACUAGUGAAAUAACCCUUAAGGUGUGUUUGGGCAAGCAAUAGAAACUCAAUGACUUUAUCUGAAGAUGUACCACUUGGGCCAUCAACAACAUAAUGACUGAGGAGCAGUAGCUCAAGAAAGAAAUUCAUUGCCACCUAAUUUCCAAAGACACCUUUUUCCAUUGGCCACGGAUUCAUUAUGACAUGGAUUACAUUGAAAAAUAUGUGCAACCUAAAAAAAAACCAAGAAUCGUCUGCAUUCCAAUAACAAAAAGGAGAUUGU
rnacentral:misc_RNA from 1 species